AACGUUGGAAUCUGACAGAAGACGAGAGAGAGCGCGCGGAACAAGAGGAAAUGUCAAAAUGGGAGAAGAAGUGAUGAUACAAAGUAACAAGUGAGUGACGCAAUACUCUGAAGUUAUUGUCAUCAUAACUGUGUCUGCGCUGGAUACUUUGAUUGCAGCCUGUUUCGUGGCUCGCGGGAUGCAGCUGCAGUGGUGAUGCGCGUGCAGUAAGUGUGGCGGCUGCGCGAGCGAGCGAACAGGAAGCGCCAUAGCGACGCUCGCUCACUGUCACCGCACAUUGCUGUUUAAGCAUGUCCACAGAUGACAGCAUCUCUGAGGACGUGUCCAGCUCUGUGGCUUUGAGCCAUGAUCAGAUCAGUGCCAAUGGCGGGAAAGAAAGUGAGGCGUCCAUCGUCUCCUCCGAGGACACCGUGUCUGGUCUCCCUCAAGAGGAGCGAUCCGUGUCCCACCCCGUCCAAACCUUGGAGGGCUUCCUACAGGCAACCGAGGGGGCAAAUCGACCCUCCACCACACCAGCAUGCAACAUUUCGAACAAAAUAAGGAAUCUGUGUCUUCGCACUGAGGAGGAGUUCAGCUCAGGAAGAAGUCUGCCCUUCAUCAACCCCAGCUCCAUAGAGACCCUCAGAGCCCUGGUCCAGGAAAUUCAGAGCAGUGGAGAGGCGGACCCUGAGAUCUGGAAGAACUGUGAGGGCCGGUGGCUACAUCUCUUUCAGUUGGUAGAAAAGCAAUACCAAGAGCAAAUUCUUGCUCAGCAGGAACAGUACCAGUGCCAAAUACAGCUAAUACAGGAUGAAAUUAAGGCGCUAGUUCAGUUGCAAAACCGGCAAAUCAGUGCACAGACACCCUCUCUGGACCCGCCCCUGCACACGGGUAAGAACCCCAAGCUUCUAAUGGACCUGCCGACUGAGAACACCUUCCUUCCCUCAGCCCCGGGGCCCCUGUCACCCCCUCAGCUUACCGUUCACCCUCAGGAGAGCUCGGAGGAGGGAAUGGCUACUGUCUUGAGCAGCGGCUAUGGGACUCUUUCCACUUUUGGAUUAGAACCAGGAAGGCCCAGUUCUGCAGAAGGGAGGGAUGAAGUGCUGUGGUCCCCGAACCAGCAGGACGGCAGUCUUACGCCGUCCCCCAUACCUGACACAAGCCCACUGGGCCAGAACCCGCCAAGCAGAACGAUUUCAGCUAAUGACAAGCUCCACACGACUGCCUCAAUCACACCUAAUGCACCGGCUGACAAACAUAGAGUAAAAAGUCAACCUCUGACUUCCUGGGCCCAAAGGCAAAAACACAGACAGAGAAAGAGCAGAACAGCACAAAACAGGCUGUUACAUGUGGAGGAGAGAGUUGGGAGCACAGCAGGAGCAGAAGAAUCUCCUAAGGAACACACUGAUCAUUUAGCUGAUCGUGGAUGCAGUGCAGUGUCCAUGAAUCCUCUGCUGCUGAAGAGAAGUGACAGUCUGGUGUCUGAAGCCUCAGGUCUCUCUUACUGGAAGCUGGAUGAGAGUGAGCUCUACCGCCCCCUACCUGACAACUUUGAAAGUGGUUCCUUUAGCCUAAUGCAGACUCCAGAAGAGAACCGUCUCUCUCUGUCUCUGCGUGAGAUCUACCACAGCAAGCAGAGAACAGAUCCCAAAGGCCAUGAGUGGGACUCCUUAAUCAACUCCUCCAUCUCCUCCCCUCAGGUGUUGACUCUCGACACGGUGCAUAUGAAACACUCUGACUGCACGUCAGGCUUCACUUCUCCGUCGCACUUCAGCAGUCCAUCUGCGCAGGCCCGCGCCUGUGCCGGUAGCAGCAGAGCUCAUGUCAGUCCGGACUCCAUGGGUGUGCGCAGCCACAGCGACACCGACUGCAUCUCCAGUGCCAGCAGUCUGUCUGCGCAGCAGGCACCUGACUGGACGCUCAGAACUAACCAGGCCAACAGCGAGGACGACGGCAGCCACACUGCCACGGUCACUGUGCAGCCCAGAGGGCCGUCUGCUCACGAGAACAGAAGCAGCUCGGGGUCAGGCACUGGGAGGCUGGAGGGAACGACCUCGCUGGAAGAUCCAGUGGUUCUCUCACUGUUGAGACAAAACCUUAGAGAGAAGAAUGCUCGGCACAUAGCAGAUCUCAGAGCAUACUACGAGGCCGAGAUCAGUGCUCUGAAAGAGAAGCUGGACCUGGUGAAUUUACCUGUCGACAUGGAGAAAAGCAACCAGAUCUUACUUGAGAGAUGUCAGCACCUGGAACGAGCGUUAACAGAGGCGAGCACACGCAUCAGAGAGCUGGAGAUGAGAAACCGUCUCUUGGAGAGGCAGCUGAUGGAGUGGCCAGGACGUUACGAUGCAGCGAGCGCCACAGUCCAGUCCCUACAGCAGCGGUUAGAAGAGACCAAACACAGCAACCGAGAGAAAGACGCCACCGUGACCAAACUGAAGAACCGCCUAUGUCAGCUGGAGGAGGCCUUCCAGAACGCCUGUAAAGAGGUGGAUGAGAAGGAGGCACGCAUGAUGAAAGAGCACAAGAUGCUGCAGGAUCUGUUGCACGAGUAUGAUUCAUUGAGGAAGGAACAUGAAGGAACUAAGGACAAGUUGGUCUCAGCUGAAAAUAAGCUCUUUGAUGCCAAUGAACAAAUAUGUGAACUGAAAAGGGUGGUUUCUAAGCUGGAAUCUCAGGUCAGACAGCUACAGCAUGAGAAUCAGGCUAAAGCACGUCAGUCUGUCCACGGUUACUCGCAGCCCUCCGGAGCGGGAUUGUUCCAUCACCCUGAUCUGCUGCUUUCACCGAGUAAAAGGGAGCGAGAUGUUGAAUGUAGCAUAAGGAACAGUGCUGGUCUCAGGGUUGAACAGACAUCCGGAUCAUCCUCUGACAGAACAACCAGAGGACGGGUGUCUCCUCCAGAGAGAGAGCAGAUUCAGGACCACUCUGAGGAGCAGAGGAAGAGAGAUGUUCCCCUGACGCCCAUGAUGAAGGCCCUGAUUCAGAUGGAGGACACUAAAGCCACAGAGGGACGCGCUCUGUCCAACACCAAAUGCACUUCCUCUAGGUUUUCUAGGAGGAGGCCAACCGUGGCUUUCGUGGAGAAUUCUGUGAGGGAAUCACUGCAGGAGCGGAGUGGAGCCGUGCUGAGGGCCCAGAGGAGUCUCUCUCCUGAGGGCCACAGGUCAUCAUCUCUGCCCCCCAGGGCACAGAGACCACUUCCUAUCUCCACACCUACAAAGAGGGACACAUUACUCGUGCCUCUCUCAGCCAAGUCCAGUCCUAAACGCUGCCCUACAGAGAACUUCUCCACUGCAUUCGGUCACCCUCUUCCAUCCCAAGAGCACCUGCAAACCAGGUUUGAUGUAGUUUUUGAUAGAAAUGGCAUCAGUUCCUCUGUGCCGUCCCAUCCAAGCCCGAGAAAGAGGUUGCAGUUUAGGUCGACCGAGAGACCAGAAGGUAUUAUGGCUUUUUACCCUCAUCUUCAGGCAUCAAACAUUUUCCAAAUCUACUUAAAGGUAGCGUUCAGUCCAGUGUGUGCUCGUCUGAGGCUGCAGAGAGCAGUGAGUCUGAAGAGCAUGCGGCCGCACACAGCUGGCAGGAACAGGAAAUCGGCGUCAGCUCACUGCAGACAGCAGACGCUGGUGAAGACACGCCCCUCUCUUGUCAGCUGCGCGUUCAGUCAUUGGCUGACGCUGAACGCCUCUUUGAUGAGCUCACACAGGAAAAGCAGCAGAUUGAAUCAGCGUUGAGCAGGUUUCCAGGCGCCGGGGCCCGUGUAACAUUGCAGACCAGGUUAGACGAGGUUUCAUUGGAGAAUCGCCUAGAAAAGGUGAACCGUGACCUGGGAUUCAUCCGCAUGACUUUGAAACGAUUCAACAUCCUUCGGUCUUCAGCCAACAUCUAGUCAACAGCCACUGUGGACUGUCUGUUAUGAAUUACGAUUACAUUCAGUGGCUUUCUUAAUCCUGGAUCAUAUGAAUUAUUAUUACAAAUAUUAUAAUGGAAUAUUGAAAAGCGCCACUGUACAGAUUCCAUUGUGUACAUUCAGUAAAUAUUUCUACUUUUGUAUCUGUAUGAUCUAUUUUAUUACAUGCUGAACAUGCUACAAAGUAUAUUUUAAUAAUUUCUAGAUUUGUAAAUGCAUUUGACUUUUUUUAUGUCACAGAAAUAUGGAAAAUGUAUGCUCAACUCAUUCAGGUUAAUGAUGUAUAUACAGUAUUUGUAUUUUCUUUUAUUGCUGCUGAUCUAAAUGAAUGGCAGAAACGUAGUGCUGCAGGGCAGUUCAUUUGCAGUAUAUGUUUUAAUUCAUAUUCAUUCCACAUUGUCUUACAUUCUUGAUUUACAGUAAAUGACACUCAAAGGAGUUUGUCUUUUACACUUCGGUUUCAUCAUUUGUGGCAUGUUCAUUAAUUUGCAGAGAAUGAUAAUAUGCAUCUGGCAAUAGGAUGAGUUGAGUUGAAUUGCCUUGUUGAAAUCAUCUCGCACAAAGAAAACAAACUCAAACCCGCAUACUGUUUACACGUUAAGUUCAAAGACCUCUGACAUUUUGAAAUGCAACAAGCACAGGAUGUACUGCUUACUUUGAUGCAUGAAAUUUCUAAUAUGCUCCUCUCUGCUUUUCCAUUUUUAGCUGUUGAAAGUUCAUUUUUUCCCCUGUUGCUCAUGAAAUCUUUUUACCGUUGCACUUAAAUGUUCCACAAUUAAAACUGCAUACUGAGGAAUGUGUUUGGCAAACAA